UUAAUAAAAGUCAUAUUAGAAAAGGGAGUGAACCUCACCUGCAGGCCACCUCAAAGGGACACCUAGUUUCGAUGUCGUCUGUGCGCAUUUCUUCAGGUUACAAAACCCGCUAGCAGAAUCCAAAGACAGUCGAACAACACUUGAGAAGAUUUGGGUGCAAAACGAAUCAAUUCCUUAUUUUUCAAAACCACACACCAGUAAAAUGUGCGCAUUUCUUCAGGUUACAAAACCCGCUAGCAGAAUCCAAAGACAGUCGAACAACACUUGAGAAGAUUUGGGUGCAAAACGAAUCAAUUCCUUAUUUUUCAAAACCACACACCAGUAAAAAAAACCUGUCAUAAGGAAAUCAUACAUGGAUAAAACAGGACAAUUACUGCAGUGAAAAGUGAAAAGAGAUGGUUACCGUAGAUGCAUUACAGACAAAACCUUAUCCUUUCAUUUGAGGGACCACAUCAAUUUGGAGGACUUUGAGAUUUCCCUCACACCCAUUCACCAAAGCUCAAUACUCCCAAAGUUCACUCAAAGUUCAUCAUUAGAACUUUGAGAAAACUGAGCUGAAGCCACUGCAAAGCCGAGAGACACCCAAAGUCAGUGAAGGAAAACGAAGAAAGGCGAAAAGAGAAACCGAACGGAGCUUACCGGGGACUUGGAGAGAUUUUUGCUCGAAGAGUCAUCGGAGUUUAAGUGGUCGAAAGCUUCAGAUCUCCUUCCGUCGGUACUUCUUCUUCCCCAUUUACUCACUUCAUGCUAAGAUCUCUAACAUAGUUGUUAUUCACUCAAUAUUGAAUCGAUGUUUCUACUUUUACCGUAAUGCAUAAAUAACUGGAUAUUUGUUGAAUGAGUGUAUUAAUCUCUAUUAUCGCUUUGAAUAUGCCAUCGAAGCUCCUUGCGUCCCAUAUUGCUCCAUUCAUGUGCGCUCUGUUUUGAAUGUUAGGUUUCAAUUUGGUAAACUUGGGAUCUAGGGUAUGAUCGAUUGUUUGCAUGUGUGUUAGAUUUGUGAUGCUCAUCAAGGUUGGGUUAGAUUCUUUGUGAAAUCUGAUGCAGAAAUGCGGUUGAUUCCAGUUUCCAAAGGAAACUUCUUUUAAACAAAUAAUGUAAUUAAUAAAAUGGGUUUAUUUGGUUUUAAUAUAUAUGAAUAGUCAUUAGUGAUUGCAUUAUUCAAGGCCAGCUAGCUGGUGAAUUUAAUUUGUUUUCUACAGUUGGGAAGGCCAAAAGGCUUUUAGCCGCCACAUGUUUCAAGUAGUUGUACAACUGCCUUUCACUUGGUAGUAAGCGGAUUAUUUUCGAAUUCAAGGCCUAUUCACCUUCCACAUUUCAGAUUGCUGUAACUUGUUUUUUUUUAAAUGUAAAGGAGUUUCUUUUGGGCCUUAGGGCCCGUUGCGAAGCCGCACAUUUUUGAGGUCCUCUGUUGGGCCUCUUCUGGUCCACUAUUUCAAGAAUUUCACCUUUUUCAUAACUUGUUUUUUUUUAAAUGUAAAGGAGUUUCUUUUGGGCCUUAGGGCCCGUUGCGAAGCCGCACAUUUUUGAGGUCCUCUGUUGGGCCUCUUCUGGUCCACUAUUUCAAGAAUUUCACCUUUUUCUCAUUUCCCACACAUUCAUAUUUAUUUUACUUAAUAUGUGCAUUAUUUGCCAAAUAUCUCAAUUAAAAUAACUAUGACUAAAUAAGGAUAUUCAUUCGUUCGCUUUCGAUUUUUUUUAUUUUUUUUUAUUUCAUUAGGAUAUUAUAACUAAUCGAAUGGUGGAUUAAAGGUUAAUAUCAACAAAUAAUUUACUUUACUUUCUAAAAUAAAUUUGAUUUUGGUCUAAUACCAAAUGAUCUUUCUCAAAACAUAUUACUCCUAAUUCAACAUAUUUAAUUAAUAUACUCUCCCAAAAUUAUUUAAAUUAAUUUUGAAUGAAAAGGAGAAUAGUAAGCUUCCGCUUUAUUAUCUCUCGAUUAUUC
rnacentral:lncRNA from 1 species